rnacentral:rRNA from 1 species
CUUAACACAUGCAAGUCGAACGAGGUGAUUGAAAGCUUGCUUUGAGAACCGAGUAGGCAAACGGGUGAGUAACGCGUAGACAACCUGCCGCAAAGAUGGGGACAACAGUCCGAAAGGACUGCUAAUACCGAAUGUUGUCAGUUUCUCGCAUGGGAGACUGAUUAAAGAUGGCCUCUACUUGUAAGCUAUCGCUUUGCGAUGGGUCUGCGUCUGAUUAGCUGGUUGGUGGGGUAACGGCCUACCAAGGCGACGAUCAGUAGCCGGUCUGAGAGGAUGAACGGCCACAUUGGAACUGAGACACGGUCCAGACUCCUACGGGAGGCAGCAGUGGGGAAUCUUCCGCAAUGGGCGAAAGCCUGACGGAGCAACGCCGCGUGAGUGAAGAAAAGGGGUUUCGGCUCGUAAAGCUCUGUUGACGGGGACGAACGUGCGAGAUGCGAAUAGUUUCUUGCAAUGACGGUACCCGUCGAGGAAGCCACGGCUAACUACGUGCCAGCAGCAGC